rnacentral:rRNA from 1 species
AGAGAAAGAGUAAAGGGCGUAC